CACGUAGGGGCAAGCGUUGUCCGGAUUUAUUGGGCGUAAAGAGCGUGUAGGCGGCCAGGUAGGUCGGUUGUGAAAACUGGAGGCUCAACCUCCAGACGUCGACCGAAACCAUCUGGCUAGAGUCCGGAAGAGGAGAGUGGAAUUCCUGGUGUAGCGGUGAAAUGCGCAGAUAUCAGGAAGAACACCCGUGGCGAAAGCGGCUCUCUGGGACGGUACUGACGCUGAGACGCGAAAGCGUGGGGAGCGAACAGG
rnacentral:rRNA from 1 species